GUCGCCAACGAGUGGCGGACGGGUGAGUAACACGUAGGUAACCUGCCCAGAAGCGGGGGACAACAUUUGGAAACAGAUGCUAAUACCGCAUAACARCGUUGUUCGCAUGAACAACGCUAAAAAGAUGGCUUCUCGCUAUCACUUCUGGAUGGACCUGCGGUGCAUUAGCUUGUUGGUGGGGUAAYGGCCUACCAAGGCGAUGAUGCAUAGCCGAGUUGAGAGACUGAUCGGCCACAAUGGGACUGAGACACGGCCCAUACUCCUACGGGAGGCAGCAGUAGGGAAUCUUCCACAAUGGGCGCAAGCCUGAUGGAGCAACACCGCGUGAGUGAAGAAGGGUUUCGGCUCGUAAAGCUCUGUUGUUAAAGAAGAACACGUAUGAGAGUAACUGUUCAUACGUUGACGGUAUUUAACCAGAAAGUCACGGCUAACUACGUGCCAGCAGCCGCGGUAAUACGUAGGUGGCAAGCGUUAUCCGGAUUUAUUGGGCGUAAAGAGAGUGCAGGCGGUUUUCUAAGUCUGAUGUGAAAGCCUUCGGCUUAACCGGAGAAGUGCAUCGGAAACUGGAUAACUUGAGUGCAGAAGAGGGUAGUGGAACUCCAUGUGUAGCGGUGGAAUGCGUAGAUAUAUGGAAGAACACCAGUGGCGAAGGCGGCUACCUGGUCUGCAACUGACGCUGAGACUCGAAAGCAUGGGUAGCGAACAGGAUUAGAUACCCUGGUAGUCCAUGCCGUAAACGAUGAGUGCUAGGUGUUGGAGGGUUUCCGCCCUUCAGUGCCGGAGCUAACGCAUUAAGCACUCCGCCUGGGGAGUACGACCGCAAGGUUGAAACUCAAAGGAAUUGACGGGGGCCCGCACAAGCGGUGGAGCAUGUGGUUUAAUUCGAAGCUACGCGAAGAACCUUACCAGGUCUUGACAUCUUGCGCCAACCCUAGAGAUAGGGCGUUUCCUUCGGGAACGCAAUGACAGGUGGUGCAUGGUCGUCGUCAGCUCGUGUCGU
rnacentral:rRNA from 1 species